rnacentral:rRNA from 1 species
GAUGAACGCUGGCGGCGUGCUUAACACAUGCGAGUCGAACGGACAGGCCCUGCUUUUGUGGGGUGCUCGAGUGGCGAACGGGUGUGUAUCACGUGAGUAACCUGCCCUUGACUUUGGGAUAACUUCAGGAAACUGGGGCUAAUACCGGAUAGGAGCUCCUGCUGCAUGGUGGGGGUUGGAAAGUUUCGGCGGUUGGGGCUGGACUCGCGGCUUAUCCGCUUGUUGGUGGGGUAGUGGCUUACCAAGCCUUUGACGGGUAGCCGGCCUUAGAGGGUGACCGGCGACAUGGGGACUGAGGUACGGCCCAGACGGCUACGGGAGGCAGCAGGGGGGAAUAUUGCACAAUGGGCGGAAGCCUGAUGUAGCAACGCCGCGUGCGGGAUGACGUGCUUCGGGUGGUAAACCGCUGUGGCCUGUGACGAAGCGUGAGUGACGGUAAUGGGUAAAGAAGCACCGGCUAACUACGUG